AGACCACCAGACAGACACACAAACAAGACUACCAAACAGGCACAGACAGACAAGACAAUCAGACAGACAGCAAGCCAGACAAGACAACCAGACAGACAGACAGCAAGACCAGACCACCAGAUAGACAGAAAAGACCACCAGACAGACAGAAAAGACCACCAUACAGACAGACAGACAGACAGACAGACAAGACCACCAGACAGACAGACAUACCAGAUAAACAGACAGACAGACAAGAACACCAGAUAAACAGACAGACAGACAAGAACACCAGACAGACAGAUAUACAAGACAACUAGACUAGACCACCAAACAGACAGACACACAAGACCACCAGACAGAUAUACAGAGAAGACCACCAGACAGACAAGACAAACAAGACCACCAGACAGACAGACAAAAAGACUACAAGACAGAUAGACAAACAAAUAUAAUAAAGUCUCCUACAGCUCCACUUCACAGGUCAGGGACUUAUAUAUCUAGUUAACACUAGAUGAUUAACGAUCUAUAUCAAUCAACAAAAUGUUUUAUAGCUAAUUAGGCACUAGUCCCACACAAAUCAAUUUAGUUUAAUUACCAAUUAAACUUAACCAAAC
rnacentral:lncRNA from 1 species